GCCUGGCCACUGGCGCGCGGGGCGCAGGGCCUCCCCAGCCAGGCCGCCUCGCCUCCGGCGCGGGGCCUCCAGCCGACCCGCCUGGCCACCGGCGUGCGGCGCGCGGGGAGGCACCUGAAGGUGCAGCUUGGGAAGCUGCAUGGGCAGCAGAAAAUGGAGGCCUUGGAUGCUAGUUAGAAAGCUACGAUCGCUAAAGCGAGAGCGGAAAUGGCUUUCCUUCAACAGAUUUAUGAUGGCUCUGAUUUGUGCGUGGGGUUUAUCUUCACGUCUUGGAUCCUUCGAAUCCGCUCUAAGUCUUAAUCUAGCUAGUACUGUAUCGUAUCCAUGGUCCAUCUAGGCAUCGUCGAUCAGGAUGGUUGUUAUUUGUUAGAAGCGUGCGCUUUAGAACAGAUGAUCCUGUCACCCUAUGGUUUGUUCUGCAAACUAGACAUGUCUCAAAAAAUUCCAUGUGUUUUUGUGGCGGAUGCACCGAAAAAUUCCAUGUGUUGUUCGAUA